GUCACCUAGACAGCGGUGACCGGGUUUAGCAGCCCGAACGACAAAGGCGGACAUCAGCCGCCCAGCGGCUUUUUU
rnacentral:sRNA from 1 species